GAUUCAAUUUUUGAAUCUGUUUAUUCAUCCCCCAUCCCAAGACACUUUUUCUGUUCCUAUUGUUUCUUCUUCCAAGAGAAACCCUAAAACACAAAUCCUCCCAACCAUCUUCUCCACCGGUCCGGUUCUGUUCCUAUCCUUUCUUGAGAAACCCUAAAACACAAACCCUCGCAUCCAUCUUCUCCACCGAUGACACCACCAGCGACCGUCGAAACCAUCUUCUUCUCUUAAAGAGCCGAUGAUCUUGGACAAAAUCAUGGCUGGUUCUCCUUAACAUACCCUCUGUUAGUCUUUACUGAUGCCAGAGAGUAGUCCAUUGAUGAUGAUGAGUUCUUCGCUGCUUCAAUGAAGAGUUGUCGUGUUAUAUGGCUGCUGAUGCUGGUGAUGGUUAGUAAGACCUGUCUGUCAGAACCCUCACCCGCACCUCUGACGGCAAACGACACGAGAUGGGAACUACUCGAAGCCGCCUCUAACCGGAUUCACAUUGAGGAUGGGUCUAUGACAAGUAUACCACCAGGAGAGCAUCAUUACUACUUGUGGAAUCCUGAACAUUUUAUUCAAACGAGCUGUGGGUCCUUAUCUAUUUUUGUGUACGGAGACCAAGAAAAACCACCGUUGAUUACAUAUCCAUGCAGUUUUAAACCAUAUGCUGUUUUUUCAAGGACUAUUCUUCUGUCCCGAAGCAGCUUCAUUGCUCCUUCAUAAUUUCUGCAUUCAUCACAUCAGUCCCCCUGGACACAAGUUAGGAGCAGCAGCCAUAUGUCCUGAUGAAACGGUUCUGUCUGUGGAGGAUCUUUGAGGUUAGAUUCUCGAGAUCCUUAACU